UUUUAAUGGUAGGUGUAUUUUAACAGUGAGAGACAGAAAAAAAAAAAAUCCAGAAAAACGCAUGUGGAAAAAAGUUAUAAAUUGAUUUGAUGUCAAAUGCGACCCGGCAUGUACGCCAUUGGGCCAGCCUCUUCCCCUUGGGGGGCCCAGGAGCCGACCACCCCAGGGCCCCCUGAGGCUGGCCCCGGGUGGCCGGCCGGCUGGCCGGCCGGUCGGGCAGGAAGGCAGGCGCGCGAGGGAGCACUCACUGCUUCCUCUUCAGCUCCCUCGCCCGCCGCACUGAUACCGGAGCCGGAAGAUGACGUCAUCUUCCUGCGCCGGCAUCCCUAAGCGGCGCGCGAGGGAGCUGAAGAGGAAGCAGUGAGUGCUCCCUCGCGCGCCCGCCUUCCUGCCCGACCGGCCACCCGCCCAGGAGCCCAGCAGCA